UCCCUGGAGGUCCAACGGUUAAGACUUUGCCCUCCAAUGCAAGGAAGUGCAGGUUUAAUCCCUGCUCAGGGAG
rnacentral:tRNA from 1 species